CAACGAUGCUCUUGGAGGAUAGGGACAGAGACUGCGCGCCGCGCCACUCACUUUGUUCAGCAUCUGAAAGCCAAAAGCAAAGAGGAAAAUGAUAAUAAAACUAAAUGAUUCAGCUACCGAGCUGUAGCUAAGGGUCAGCCUUAUUUCUCCCGAAGCGACCCAGCAGCUAUGCUUACCUCGGGGUUAAUCUCCAUCGGCUUCAGCUGCAUCUUCGCGGAUGGCACCUGCAGACACAAACCCGAGGAGCCGAAAAAACAGCCGGUGGAGCCGCCCAGGCUGCUGUUAUAAAGCGCCGGCCUCGCUCACUGGGAAAGCCUGAGCAGGGGAGACGGGAGCAGAAACAAGCAGAGGAGGAAGGCCAAGAGGGCUCGAACUCCCCCAUGCACCGCACAGAAUGGUACAAGCCAAGCCCCCAAACCUUGCAGUCUCACUCGCCGAAGUGCUCCCCGGACUGGGCAUGGUAGCACGCACCUGUGAUUCCAGCAGCUGAGAGAGAGGCCGAGCCCACAUGGAAUCCAUUGUGCAGUGCUAGAGGAGGUCAGAAGAGGGCAUUGGAUCCCCCAGAACUGGAGUUAUACGGUAACCUCGUGGUGGUUGUGAACCACCAUGUGGAUGGAUAUUGAGUUCCAAACGCUGGUCCUGUGCAAGAGCAUCCAGUGCUCUUAAGUGCUGAGCCAUCUCUUUAGCUCCAGUCUCUUAAAAAACAAACAAACGAACGAACAGCAAGGGAGCUGGGUAUGACGACACAUACUAUAAUUCUAGCACUCAGGAUGCUGAAACAGGAGGAUUGCCUGACUGGGAGAUAUAAGGAGAAUCUGUUGUCACCCCCACCCCUCCCCAUAAAGGCAGAAUAAAAGAACGUCCUAUAAACAAAUAAACAAACAACCCAAUAAAACAAAACCAAGAUCUCUCUACCUUUUCUUUGCUUUUUCAGACUUUGUAAUGAGGCCCUUUGGAGUGCAGGAUAUUCGGCAGGACAAACAGAGAGGAAGACCAUCAGUUCUUUCUUUGAUCAAGAAGACUAUGCUCCUUAGCAAACUGGUGUGUAUUAUCUCUUAUGCAAUGAGCCUGGAAAGAGGGCACAGCCACCGAGGAUGGUACAGCAUGGAUGGAUGGUACGCUACAGAGACUCGGGAGCCCAACUGUGAGUGGCUGACUGGCAUGGUAGGUUCAGGGAAGAAUUGGCCUGUGAAGAAAAUGUUCUUGAAAAGUGAACAAGGUGCAGGAGGUAGGAGUGGGUCCUGGGCAAAGCAGGGGGUGCAUCCCAGCCUCAGGGAAUAGCACAGCAGAGGUCUGUUGAUGCAUGCGAGUGCAUGACCUGCUUGCCAAUAGACGAUCAAGAAUGGGCAAAGCAUCAUGGGUGAUGAGUGGGAGAGGGGAUGAGACAUUCCUUUCUCCCUGCUGAGACUUCCAUUGAACCGAUGAGUUCUGAAUAGAAGAUGCCCCCCCACCCCCCCACCAGUGUAGAAUCUGAAGGGAGGCAUAUAUUACCCUAUAUUACUCUGUGUUGGCGGCGAGCUAUCUGACAGCCAACCUUCCCAUACAUUUCAUUGGGCAUACACUAAUGACAGGAAGUUCCUUUCGCUUGUAUGCAAGAGAUGGCUCACACGAUGGAGAAUUUAAUCUUGUUAGUUUGUUAUUUAUGUGUCCUAAAUUUUGUUCAAUAAAAAUGAAACACUCCUAUG
ensembl:antisense Uchl1os ubiquitin carboxy-terminal hydrolase L1, opposite strand